rnacentral:precursor_RNA from 1 species
UCAGUCGAUGCGGCUGGCAGAUUUUUGACGUGCCUCGUAUUGAAUUGCCUGUCACAUCGACGACA